rnacentral:rRNA from 1 species
GACGAACGCUGGCGGCGUGCUUAACACAUGCAAGUCGAGCGGUAAGGCCCUUUCGGGGGUACACGAGCGGCGAACGGGUGAGUAACACGUGGGUGACCUGCCCUCAGCUCUGGGAUAAGCCUGGGAAACCGGGUCUAAUACUGGAUAUGACUCCAUGACGCAUGUUGUGGGGUGGAAAGCCUUGUGCGGCUGAGGAUGGGCCCGCGGCCUAUCAGCUUGUUGGUGGGGUGANGGCCUACCAAGGCGACGACGGGUAGCCGGCCUGAGAGGGCGACCGGCCACACUGGGACUGAGACACGGCCCAGACUCCUACGGGAGGCAGCAGUGGGGAAUUGUUCGCAAUGGGCGCAAGCCUGACGACGCAACGCCGCGUGGAGGAUGAAGAUUUUCGGAUCGUAAACUCCUGUCGAAUGGGACGAAAAGAUUGCGGGUGAACAGCCCGUAGUCCUGACGGUACCGUUAAAGGAAACCCCGGCUAACUCCGUGCCAGCAGCCGCCGCGGUAAU